CCUCCUACAACAGGCAUUGCAACUCCUGGCUUUGCAGGGUUUAUGAAGUCAGGUUGAUAAGUCCUCCCAAGCACUCCUUCAACCUUUGACGAGAGGCCGUGGAAUCUGAACUGGAUUUCCAAGGAGAGUUAGCAAGACACUGUUGCUGUUUGAUGUUCUUUGAACGAUGAUAUUGCUUUCUGAGGACUUCCAUUGUGAGAGAUGACCAUCUGGUAUAACUACUUCUUUUCCGUUGUACAUGAAUUUCAAGUGAUCGACUUUGUUGUCCCAAGUUGCUGCUCGUUUGGCCUCAAGUGAAAAGGAGUGAGAAUUGAAGAGGAAACCAAGAGCUUGAAUCCAUGUGAAGUCCCUGGAUCUGCCUGCAGGCCUUAGUCCAAUGAACCGUGCAUUAAUUUGCAGAUCGGGAUCAGAUACCAAGCUGAAGUGUUCAUUGCUUUUUCCAUGGAAGUAGAACACAAUACCGUCAGCACCAAUGAACCUGGGGUCCAAGCAUGCCGAGCCGGGACCGUUACAGUUUGGUUUUGAACCUGUCAUUGUAUCACACAAACAAAUAAGCGAUUCACAGUUUACGUAACAAACUUUAUCAGUAUGGUUUGAUGGUGAUUUUGAUGGGCAUUCUGCUGGGCAACGCAUCUGCUUGAAACGACACGGGCUCUUGCUCUUGUAACAAGUUAACGUAUCGGCACCAUGUAUCUGCAACAAACCAGACAUGAACACCAGAAGAAGGAUAGAGACAUGUCUGCUAAAUCUCCCCAUGAUCGUCUGAGUUUCUUCAAUGUGAGCCAAAGACUUGAUAUGGCCAAGCACAGGUUUUUCUUCUAUCUUUUAUAAAUCCAUUGAGUGGGAAAGUGGGUAUUUCCAUAGCAAUUAAGUACUUUUGAAGCAAAUGAAUUGUUCUUUUUUUACUCAGCUUCUAGUUGAAGUUAUGAGUGUCCUUAGAUUUUGAUAUUGUUGCUUUAAGGAUUUAUAAAAUUGGUCAACGCUUUGGGAGCUGUAGUUUUAGUAUAAAGAACAGCUAGUGAACAUCUUCUUCAAGGAUGAAGCUGGCUUGAAGGUCCUAAACCAUUUGGAAAGGUUUCCAAAUGGUUUAGGACCUUCAACAAAUAAUAUCUGUCUGAGAUUAGAAAAUUCAUGCAUUUAAGUAUUGACUCAGUAAUGAAAAAGAUGAACUGUAAUUGUAGCAAAUUUGGUUGUUAUAAAACAAUUUGCAAAUAUGACAACCUCUUUAAACUUUCCAAUUUAUCAUCGAUGUACUUUUAUAUAGUCUAUCAAUGAUAAACUUCUAUAAUCGAUAAA